rnacentral:rRNA from 1 species
AUACGUAGGGUGCGAGCGUUGUCCGGAAUUACUGGGCGUAAAGAGCUCGUAGGUGGUUUGUCGCGUCGUCUGUGAAAUUCCGGGGCUUAACUCCGGGCGUGCAGGCGAUACGGGCAUAACUUGAGUACUGUAGGGGAGACUGGAAUUCCUGGUGUAGCGGUGAAAUGCGCAGAUAUCAGGAGGAACACCGGUGGCGAAGGCGGGUCUCUGGGCAGUAACUGACGCUGAGGAGCGAAAGCAUGGGUAGCGAACAGGAUUAGAUCCCCUGGUAGUCCAUGCCGUAAACGGUGGGCGCUAGGUGUAGGGGUCUUCCACGACUUCUGUGCCGUAGCUAACGCAUUAAGCGCCCCGCCUGGGGAGUACGGCCGCAAGGCUAAAACUCAAAUGAAUUGACGGG